rnacentral:rRNA from 1 species
GACGGAAGGUGCAAGCGUUGCUCGGAAUCACUGGGCGUAAAGGGUGCGUAGGCGGCUUGGUAGGUCUGGUGUGAAAGCCCCGGGCUCAGCCCGGGAAGGGCACUAGAAACUGCCAAGCUAGAGUGCCGGAGGGGAGAGUGGAAUUCCUGGUGUAGCGGUGAAAUGCGCAGAUAUCAGGAGGAACACCAGCGGCGAAGGCGGCGCUCUGGGCCGGUACUGACGCUGAGGAGCGAAAGCGUGGGGAGCAAGCAGG